rnacentral:rRNA from 1 species
UACGUAGGGGGCAAGCGUUGUCCGGAAUCAUUGGGCGUAAAGAGCGUGUAGGCGGCUUGGUAAGUCCGCUGUGAAAGUCCAGGGCUCAACCCUGGAAUGCCGGUGGAAACUGUCAAGCUUGAGUCCGGAAGAGGCGAGUGGAAUUCCUGGUGUAGCGGUGAAAUGCGCAGAUAAUCAGGAGGAACACCAAUGGCGAAGGCAGCUCGCUGGGACGGUACUGACGCUGAGACGCGAAAGCGUGGGGAGCGAACAG